AUUGAACGCUGGCGGCAUGCCUUACUCAUGCAAGUCGAACGGCAGCGCGGACUUCGGUCUGGCGGCGAGUGGCGAACGGGUGAGUAAUACAUCGGAACGUACCCUGUUGUGGGGGAUAACUAGUCGAAAGAUUAGCUAAUACCGCAUACGACCUGAGGGUGAAAGUGGGGGACCGCAAGGCCUCACGCAGCAGGAGCGGCCGAUGUCUGAUUAGCUAGUUGGUGGGGUAAAGGCCCACCAAGGCGACGAUCAGUAGCUAGUCUGAGAGGACGAUCAGCCACACUGGGACUGAGACACGGCCCAGACUCCUACGGGAGGCAGCAGUGGGGAAUUUUGGACAAUGGGGGCAACCCUGAUCCAGCAAUGCCGCGUGUGUGAAGAAGGCCUUCGGGUUGUAAAGCACUUUUGUCCGGAAAGAAAUCGCGCUGGUUAAUACCUGGCGUGGAUGACGGUACCGGAAGAAUAAGCACCGGCUAACUACGUG
rnacentral:rRNA from 1 species